GGUCAAAAUGACACCUCAAUCGUCUCCGAGCUCGUCUCGUGAUCACGUUUGUCUCGUUUGUCAAGAUUUCGCUUCUGGCUACCAUUAUGGUGUCCCGUCAUGUGUCGGAUGCAAGACAUUUUUCCGGCGAACAAUUAUGAAGAAACAAAAGUACAUUUGCCAAUUCGAGGGCAAUUGUCCAGUUGAUAAAACUAUCCGCUGUGCCUGCCGAUACUGCCGAUUCGAGAAAUGUUUGAGCGUGGGAAUGGACCGAAACGCCCUCCAACAAAACCGUGACCCUAUCGGAUACACAAAACGUACCAGGCGUCCAAAAAAAGAGCUGAAGACUACCUCGGACUGUUCAAGUGACGAAGGAGCAAGCACCCCACCAUCAGUGUCUCCAUUACAGCUAUCGCCUCCACCAAUCUCGCCACUCCUUUUCCAAGCUGCACCACUGAAACCUCGUCGCUGCAUCCUACAAACUCUUGCCGAACGCGAAAAGUGUGCAAAUGAUCUCCGACUCUCCGAAUAUCUUCCAAUCCGAUCUCUCCACGAGGCUCUAUGCUCAAAGGCUCUGCUGAACGACACGGCUUUUUUGGAAAAGUGGGGACAGCCGAGUGAGAGACAUCAGAUCUUCGAUCUACGAUUCGUCAAUCACGACGACUACCACUAUUGGCACGAGAGAGACUGGUUCUUGUUGACAGAGUAUGCCAAAACAUUCGAUGUUUUUGAGGCGCUCGAUUAUCAAGAUAAGGCCGAACUUGUUCGCCAUGCCGCAAUAACAGUCCCAGUCCUGGUUCAAGUCUGGAACUCCCCGGACUACGGACCAGACACAAUUGUAUUCCCAGAUGGUGCCUACUUCGAUCGUACUCCAGAGCCAACCCGCCGGACUCAACAGGAAAAAGUAUCAAAUGUUGGAUCUCGUGCUCAAGCCGUUCCGUGAUCUACAGCUCGACGCAACCGAAUUUGCAGCGUUCAAAGCGGUAACGUUUCUGAAUCCAGACGCUGACAUCUCUCUACCGGCUCGCAAGCUUGUGAACAACGAACGAGUCCGCAUCACCAAGCAGUUAUACGGCUACAUGGCCAUGAAAGACGACGUGGACACGGCAAUCGAAAGAUUCGCACGAUUGGUUCUGAUGGGAACGUCCAUGUCAAAAAUGGCGUGCGAAUCGAAAGAGGCCGUGUGGAUUGCAGACUUUUUCGAGAAUAUCGGCUUCUCGGCGUUUGCCCGGCAACUGUUUUUCGGUGAUACGACGAGCGUUGUUGCUCACAAAUUGUGAAGUGAAUAAAUUUAAAUUUAAUAAAUUAAUUUCCAGAAAUAUUUACACGCUUGAAAAAAAAUCUCAAUGCUAAUCCUAUUUAUAUACGUUUAUUAUUAUUUUUUUUUUUUGGUAUUUUUUUUGCAAUAAAGUUUUAACUUUU
rnacentral:misc_RNA from 1 species